rfam:Triticum urartu cultivar G1812 contig884643, whole genome shotgun sequence.
AUAAUACUCCCUCCGUUCCGAAUUACUUGUCGCAGGUAUGGAUGCAUCUAUAUGUAUUUUAGUUCUAAAUACAUCCAUUUCUGCGACAAGUAAUUUGGAACAGAGGGAGUAGAUG